rnacentral:miRNA from 1 species
UUAGAGGCUGGAAUAGAGAUUCU